CAAACGAAUCUCGGCAACGGAUAUCUCGGCUCUCGCAUCGAUGAAGAAAGUAGCGAAAUGGGAUACUUGGUGUGAAUUGGAGAAUCCCGUGAACCAUCGAGUCUUUGAACGCAAGUUGCGCCCGAAGCCAUUAGGCCGAGGGCACGUCUGCCUGGGCGUCACGC
rnacentral:rRNA from 1 species